CCUACGGGAGGCUGCAGUGAGGAAUAUUGGUCAAUGGGCGAGAGCCUGAACCAGCCAAGUCGCGUGAGGGAGUACUGCCCUAUGGGUUGUAAACCUCUUUUGUCGGGGAGCAAAAGCCGGACGUGUCCGGCUGUGAGAGUACCCGAAGAAAAAGCAUCGGCUAACUCCGUUCCAGCAGCCGCGGUAAUACGGGGGAUGCGAGGGUUAUCCGGGUUUUUUGGGGUUAAAGGGUGCGGAGGCGGAUUUUUAAGUCAGCGGUGAAAUCGGGGGGAUCAACCCCAUACAGCCGUUGAUACUGGGGAUCUAGAGUGUGCGAGAGGUAUGCGGAAUGCGUGGUGUAGCGGUGAAAUGCAUAGAUAUCACGCAGAACCCCGAUUGCGAAGGCAGCAUACCGGUGCACAACUGACGCUCAGGCACGAAAGCGUGGGUAUCGAACAGGAUUAGAUACCCCUGUAGUC
rnacentral:rRNA from 1 species